rnacentral:snRNA from 1 species
AGCUUUGCGCAGUGGUAGUAUCGUAACCAAUGAGGUUUAUCCGAGGUGCGAUUAUUGCUAGUUGAAAACUCUCCCCAAUACCCCGUCUAGUCGUCGUGAAAUACCGACGGCAACGACAUUUUUUGUUAGCCCGUUCCAGGG